rnacentral:misc_RNA from 1 species
UUGUGGAGGAGGACGCCGAAGGUGGGGCUAAUGACUGGGGUGAAGUCGUAACAAGGUAGCCGUACCGGAAGGUGCGGCUGGAUCACCUCCUAACAGGGAGACAACAAAAUGUUUAAUAUUAUUAUUUUGUCACCUUAGGUCGAUCGGUAUCUCACGUUCUUAAUUUAUUAAGGAUUUCAUUUCCUAAGUUUUUCUAGGUCACACCCAUUAUUUUUCCUGGGCCAUUAGCUCAGGUGGUUAGAGCGCACCCCUGAUAAGGGUGAGGUCCCUGGUUCAAGUCCAGGAUGGCCCAUAUCUCUAUGUUGGGGGUAUAGCUCAGUUGGUAGAGCGCCUGCUUUGCAAGCAGGAUGUCAGCGGUUCGAGUCCGCUUACCUCCACUGAUUACCACCUCUUCCAUAAUCUGUAGAAAGGAAAUUUUUUGAGUCGUGACCAAAUUCUGAAAGAAUCUAGCUUCCUAAUGAAAUCAUUAAGAUGCUGGACUCAUUGAAUUAAUUUCAUUGUUUUCAGAGAACCUUGACAACUGCAUAGAUUAUUUUUUAAAGACAAUAAGCAUCUUUUAUGAUGCAGAUUUAUUAUUUGUGCGAAUGCAUUAAUAACAAUUCUAUUAAGCUGAUGCUUCAAUUUUGAAGUUAUUGGUCAAGCUACAA